rnacentral:rRNA from 1 species
AUUGAACGCUGGCGGCAGGCUUAACACAUGCAAGUCGAACGAGUGGCGGACGGGCGAGUAAUGCAUGGGAAUCUAGCUUACGGAGGGGGCUAAAUACGGGAACCUGUAGAUAAUACCGCGUACACUAGGAUGAGCCCAAGGGUGAUUAGGUAUUUGGUGAGGUAAAGGCUCACGAAGCGGUAGAUGCCUAGCUGGUCUGAGAGGCUGACCAGCCACACUGGGACUGAGACACGGCCCAGACUCCUACGGGAGGCAGCAGUGGGGAAUAUUGCGCAAUGGGGGCAACCUGACGCAGCCAUGCCGCGUGAAUGAAGAAGGCCUUCGGGUUGUAAAGUUCUUUCGGUAGCGAGGCGUUAACUACAGAGGAAGCACCGGCUAACUCCGUGCCAGCCGCCGCGGUAAUUC